rnacentral:misc_RNA from 1 species
UCCGGUUUAUCACCGGCAGUCUCCUUAAAGUGCCCAGCUCGACCUGAUGGCAACUAAGGACAAGGGUUGCGCUCGUUACGGGACUUAACCCAACAUCUCACGACACGAGCUGACGACAGCCAUGCAGCACCUGUCUCACGGUUCCCGAAGGCACCCCGACAUCUCUGCCAGGUUCCGUGGAUUCAAAGGUAGGUAAGGUUCUUCGCGUUGCAUCGAAUUAAACCACAUACUCCACCGCUUGUGCGGGCCCCCGUCAAUUUCUUUGAGUUUUAACCUUGCGGCCGUACUCCCCAGGCGGAGAACUUAUCGCGUUAGCUUCGAUACUAGAAGGUCAUGCCUUCUAACAUCUAGUUCUCAUCGUUUACAGCAUGGACUAC